AAUUCCAAAAACAAUUAAUCACUACCUUUAUAACAAAUGAUAAGUAUUCAAAAGUAGCCUCAGAAUUUAUAAUCUAUCCAGUGCCAUCCGAAAAGAAAGAGACUUAAGUCUGUCAAUAAAAAAUUAGACAAACAACUCACGACACCAAGAUUACACCCUUGUUAGAACUAUUACACGACUUGGAAAACGUACUCUUUUUCUUCCUGUUCGCUAUUAAGUUCGCUUUACUCGCCAAGGGUCUAUUCCAACCUCACUGCAACUGGUUGGUGAGUUCAUGAGGGUCAACCUGAGAGAAUGUUCUGACACUGGCCUUAGCAAGAGCAGUGCUUGGCAGAAUCUACAACUAGAUCGGAAUCGCGACCCACUGAGAAGAUCCGGCGAGAAACUCGGUGAAUUGUGUCUAUGCGUCAGUUCACUCGUCGAACUCUUCGUCAUAAUCGACGAGAACAGUGACCGCUGCUUGAAGAACCUAAAAGCACCAAGAGUGGAUCCGGGAUAUUCGACAAGACAUAUUUCGGGCGACGGCGCCUUUGCGUUGCCCCGUCGCCUAGCUGCAACGUUCCGUUUUGGUCUUCCAGAAGUAAUAGGAGAUGCCGGCAAAGUCUUCGGGAAGGUUCUGGAAAAAAUGUUUGCUCACAAAAAGCUCUUGGGUGUUCAAUCUGGUAUUUACUAAGUAAAAAUCUAAACUUACAUUUCAUGGAGCAGUAUCAAGGAAAUAUUUUUUAUUGUUUGUUAUAUAAUGAUGAGGUAUUGACUGUAAUAAACUAUUUGAAGCCCGGUGUCUAACUAAAUAA